rnacentral:rRNA from 1 species
CCUACGGGAGGCAGCAGUGGGGGAUAUUGCACAAUGGGGGAGACCCUGAUGCAGCGACGCCGCGUGUGGGAAGACGGUCCUCUGGAUUGUAAACCACUGUCCCCAGGGACGAAGAUGACGGUACCUGGGGAGGAAGCUCCGGCUAACUACGUGCCCGCAGCCGCGGUAAUACGUAGGGAGCGAGCGUUGUCCGGAUUUACUGGGUGUCAAGGGAGCGUAGGCGGGACUGCGAGUUGGGGGUAAAAUCUACCGGCGCAACCGGUAGCCGCACUCAAAACUGCCGGUCUUGAGUGAAGUAGAGGCACGCGGAAUUCGUAGGGGAGCGGUGAAAUGCGUAGCUAUUAGGAGGAACCCCAGUGGCGAAGGCGGCCUGCCGGGCUUUUACUGACGCUGAGGCUCGAAAGUGUGGGGAGCAAACAGGAUUAGAUACCCCAGUAGUC